UGCCAGACUCCUACGGGAGGCAGCAGUGGGGAAUAUUGCACAAUGGGGGGAACCCUGAUGCAGCGACGCCGCGUGGGUGAAGAAGUCAUUCGUGACGUAAAGCCCUAUCAGCAGGGAAGAAAAUGACGGUACCUGACUAAGAAGCCCCGGCUAACUACGUGCCAGCAGCCGCGGUAAUACGUAGGGAGCGAGCGUUAUCCGGAAUUAUUGGGUGUAAAGGGUGCGUAGACGGGUAAAUAAGUUAGUUGUGAAAUCCCUCGGCUCAACUGAGGAACUGCAACUAAAACUGUAUAUCUUGAGUGCGGGAGAGGAAAGUGGAAUUCCUAGUGUAGCGGUGAAAUGCGUAGAUAUUAGGAGGAACACCAGUGGCGAAGGCGACUUUCUGGACCGUAACUGACGUUGAGGCACGAAAGUGUGGGGAGCAAACAGGAUUAGAUACCCUAGUA
rnacentral:rRNA from 1 species